GAUGAACGCUGGCGGCGUGCCUAAUACAUGCAAGUCGAGCGAACGGACGAGAAGCUUGCUUCUCUGAUGUUAGCGGCGGACGGGUGAGUAACACGUGGAUAACCGACCUAUAAGACUGGGAUAACUUCGGGAAACCGUAGCUAAUACCGGAUAAUAUUUUGAACCGCAUGGUUCAAAAGUGAAAGACGGUCUUGCUGUCACUUAUAGAUGGAUCCGCGCUGCAUUAUCUAGUUGGUAAGGUAACGGCUUACCAAGGCAACGAUGCAUAGCCGACCUGAGAGGGUGAUCAGUCACACUGGAACUGAGACACGGUCCAGACUCCUACGGGAGGCAGCAGUAGGGAAUAUUCCGCAAUGGGCGAAAGCCUGACGGAGCAACGCCGCGUGAGUGAUGAAGGUCUUCGGAUCGUAAAACUCUGUUAUUAGGGAAGAACAUAUGUGUAAGUAACUGUGCACAUCUUGACGGUGCCUAAUCAGAAAGCCACGGCUAACUACGUG
rnacentral:rRNA from 1 species